rnacentral:rRNA from 1 species
UACGUAGGGGGCAAGCGUUGUCCGGAUUUAUUGGGCGUAAAGAGCGUGUAGGCGGCUAGAUAGGUCCGUUGUGAAAACUCGAGGCUCAACCUCGAGACGUCGAUGGAAACCAUCUGGCUAGAGUCCGGAAGAGGAGAGUGGAAUUCCUGGUGUAGCGGUGAAAUGCGCAGAUAUCAGGAAGAACACCCGUGGCGAAGGCGGCACUCUGGGCCGGUACUGACGCUGAGGAGCGAAAGCGUGGGGAGCGAACAGG